rnacentral:rRNA from 1 species
UACAGAGGUCCCAAGCGUUGUUCGGAUUCACUGGGCGUAAAGGGUGCGUAGGUGGCUUGGUAAGUUCGAUGUGAAAUCUCCGGGCUUAACCCGGAAAUGGCAUUGAAUACUAUUGAGCUGGAGGUUUGGAGGGGGGACUGGAAUUCUCGGUGUAGCAGUGAAAUGCGUAGAUAUCGAGAGGAACACCAGUGGCGAAGGCGACUUCCUGGCCUGUCCUUGACGCUGAGGCGCGAAAGCUAGGGGAGCAAACAGG